rnacentral:tRNA from 1 species
AAGAAUUUAAGUUAAAUUUAAACUUUUGACCUUCAAAGUCAAUUAUAAAGGUAAUUAACCCUUUAAUUCUUA